GUACAUUUGUAGUUUCGUCUUUGUGAAGACCACAUUUGUUGAUGUGGUUGUGGUGCUAAACUGUCUCGUUCAUUAGUGAAAAAGGAGUCUCAACAUGUCCUUUGCGCGUAUAAAGCCAUUUAAAAAACUUGAGUUGGAUUGUUAAAGAAUUUAUCAAACAUAAACUGUUUGCUGGCAAUUGAACUAUUAUAUUGUUUCUAUGGAUCUCCAGGCAUUGCUGUGCUAAUAUGUCAGCUACAUUCAUUAAUAAGGAGUCCCAACACAUCCAAACCUUUGCGCGCCUAACAUCAUUUAAUAAACGUGGAGUUGGAGUGUCGGGACACUCCAACUCAAAUUUAUAAAAUAGACUGCAAGUAGUCAGUAUUAUAUAAGACAUGGAUAUCCAAAUAAUCCCACUAACUUUAAGCGUGCGAAAGUUUGGAUAUGUUGAGACUCCUUUUUAAUUAAAGUAACUAACAUUAUGACACACUAAUGCCUGGACAUCAAUGGGAACAAUUUUUUUUAUCAGAUUUGCUGACUAUCUUCUCUGAAUAAUCUAUGCUCAAUUCAGCAAGGUGCUUUUCGAUCAGUUGUGAAGGGACAAACUGUGGAAUAAGAAAAACGUAAAGGUCAUAGGAAAUCAGACAUGAAGGACAUGCAUACAUGUAUUAUGGAGUCAUUGCAAAGAGUUGGUUGAUACAUAUUUCAAUCAGUUGGCUUAUGAUAAGCCGACGAGAGAUACACCAUUGAGGAAGGAAACUAAUGUGUCCAAGAAUAUUAUGGAGAUAUCCUCCUCAGUAUUAUCAUGAUUCCAUAAUUGUAAUUGAUGGUGGUAUCAUUGAAAUAGAUACCUAAGUGUGUGCAGAGUAUAGACUAAAGUAAAUGUUUUACUCCUAACAUAGAUUCACCUCAUCUUGAAGAAUGCUCGUCAUAUAUUGUUUGCUGUGUUAUGUGUUAAUAUGUUUUAUCUAUUUCAAUAAAUAAUUCCAAUUAA